rnacentral:tRNA from 1 species
UGAUUUGUAGCAUAAUGGAAGUGCAUUGGUCUUCUAAGCCAAAUGGUAAGAGUUCGAAUCUCUUCGAAUCAA